CACACAACUACAAUCAGUCAAACCGAAAGCGAAACAAUCGGCAAAGCAGAAGGAAACUUGGACGAUAAAAAGAGCAUACGCAGAGGAAAAAACAAAGCUUAGCCAAAAGUAAGAAAAAAGGGGGCUCGGCUUUGUUCAGAGAGCACAUAACAGAGCCACAUGAAAUGGCAGAGAGACUAGAUGGCGAAGGAGAGAGGCGUUUACGUGACGCGGCUCACAAGUCGAUUUUUGAGGUCGCGUUUCAGUACCGAGCUCCAAGUUGGUGCUCAAUGGAAUUCACUUAAUGCCCAUACCCGUAAUUAACUUGGUCAAUUCCCCGUAACCAAAUGUUGGCUCACUGAUUGCCUUUGCCAGCUGCAAAGCUAAACAAAAAGCUCAGCUUAUAUAAGCAAAUGGAAAUUGCGACAAAUGCUCCGAACUGGGAUCCAUUGAAAUAAGUUUCAAGUACCAAGUUCAUUGUGGAACUCAUUUACAAUUGAAAUUUCAGACCCAUAUAACGAAAGAGGCUCAAACAAACUUGGACAUUUCAAGCCUAUUCUUUGGGUCAUUCCACUUGGGUACUCUGAGGAUGGCUCAGUUCUUUCUAUGAUUACUUUGGGACUACAUUAUCUUAAAAAGGUGUAAGAUGACCUAGAUAGAAUUUUGUAAGAAAUUUUGAUCAAUAUUUUUCCUAAUACACUAAAAUAUAUACAUGUA